GACCCCGCACAAGCGGUGGAUCAUGUUGUUUAAUUCGAAGAUACGCGAAAAACCUUACCAGGUCUUGACAUCCCUUGCAAUGCUGUAGAGAUACAGUGGAGGUUAUCAAGGAGACAGGUGGUGCAUGGUUGUCGUCAGCUCGUGUCGUGAGAUGUUGGGUUAAGUCCCGCAACGAGCGCAACCCUUAUUGCUAGUUGCCAUCAUUUAGUUGGGGACUCUAGCGAGACUGCCAGUGAUAAACUGGAGGAAGGUGGGGAUGACGUCAAAUCAUCAUGCCCCUUAUGUCCAGGGCUGCACGCAUGCUACAAUGGCAAGUACAACGAGUCGCAAUACCGCGAGGUGGAGCAAAUCUCUUAAAGCUUGUCUCAGUUCGGAUAGGAGUCUGCAACUCGACUCCUUGAAGUUGGAGUCGCUAGUAAUCG
rnacentral:rRNA from 1 species